rnacentral:rRNA from 1 species
UGCGUAGGCGGAUUAAUAAGUCAGUGGUGAAAACCUGCAGCUUAACUGUAGAACUGCCAUUGAUACUGUUAUUCUUGAGUACGGUCAAGGUAGGCGGAAUGUGUAAUGUAGCGGUGAAAUGCUUAGAUAUUACACAGAACACCGAUUGCGAAGGCAGCUUACUGGACCAUUACUGACGCUGAGGCACGAAAGCGUGGGGAGCGAACAGGAUUAGAUACCCUGGUAGUCC